AUUGAACGCUAGCGGGAUGCCUUACACAUGCAAGUCGAACGGAGUGGCGAACGGGUGAGUAAUGUAUCGGAACGUGCCCAGUAGCGGGGGAUAACUACGCGAAAGCGUAGCUAAUACCGCAUACUAUUGGACCGGCCGAUAUCGGAUUGGCUAGUGGGGGGGGUAACGGCUCACCAAGGCGACGAUCCGUAGCUGGUUUGAGAGGACGACCAGCCAAACGGGGACUGAGAAACGGCCCAGACUCCUCCGGGAGCCAGCAGUGGGGAAUUUUGGACAAUGGGGGAAACCCUGAUGCAGACAUCCGGCGUGUGCGAUGAAGGCCUUAGGGUUAUAAAGCACUUUUGGCAGGAAAGCGGUACCUGCAGAAUAAGCACCGGCUAACUACGUGCCAGCAGCCGCGGUAAUGC
rnacentral:rRNA from 1 species